GCGAAUUCCAACCGAGGGACAGAACCAAACUGGAUGAAUCCUACACGCACCUGAAUGGGGCAGCGGUGUACUGAGAAUGAAUGCUGCCCAAUCAAAGGAGCCAUCCAUGAGGAAGAGGAUGUCCAUGGCUGCAGAGCACUGCAUCACUUCCAGGAGAACGAUACAAUUACACAAAGGGCAAUUUUCAGCUCUGUGGAAAGCCGUUCCGGAGUGAAACAUGUCUGCACUAGCCCCAAAGAAUCACAACCGCCGGUGUUGUACUCAGAAUUGAUCUUCAGGAUGUUGUCACGGCUGGUUUGGAUUUCCUGCACAGAGUUACCCUGCUGAACUAAGAGAGAG